rnacentral:rRNA from 1 species
AGUGAACGCUGGCGGUAGGCCUAACACAUGCAAGUCGAACGGCAGCACAGUAAGAGCUUGCUCUUACGGGUGGCGAGUGGCGGACGGGUGAGGAAUACAUCGGAAUCUACUUUUUCGUGGGGGAUAACGUAGGGAAACUUACGCUAAUACCGCAUACGACCUACAGGUGAAAGCAGGGGAUCUUCGGACCUUGCGCGAUUGAAUGAGCCGAUGCCGGAUUAGCUAGUUGGCGGGGUAAAGGCCCACCAAGGCGACGAUCCGUAGCUGGUCUGAGAGGAUGAUCAGCCACACUGGAACUGAGACACGGUCCAGACUCCUACGGGAGGCAGCAGUGGGGAAUAUUGGACAAUGGGCGCAAGCCUGAUCCAGCCAUACCGCGUGGGUGAAGAAGGCCUUCGGGUUGUAAAGCCCUUUUGUUGGGAAAGAAAAGCAGCAGGUUAAUACCCCGCUGUUCUGACGGUACCCAAAGAAUAAGCACCGGCUAACUUCGUG